rnacentral:lncRNA from 1 species
UUUUUGUCAUCGAACCAAUAACCAUUGUAUACAGAAAAAAGCAGACCGAAGCUCCUCCCAGGAGGAUUCAGCCUAUCCAUAUAUGUGUUUCGAUAUGAUACGAUAAUGUACGUGGGUGGAAAAUAAGUUCAAUUUUCUGAUACUGAAAUUGUUAAUAUAGUUGUAAUGGGAAACAUUACUCAUAGUGGUCGUCUAUUUGCUCUGAAGUACACCCGAGUUUUUCUCCAUCACCAACAGUUGUCCCUCCUAAGGAGAAGGUUCUUCAUGUUCCUCCUC